AUUGAACGCUGGCGGCAGGCCUAACACAUGCGAGUCGAGCGGAUGAAGGGAGCUUGCUCCUGGAUUCAGCGGCGGACGGGUGAGUAAUGCCUAGGAAUCUGCCUGGUAGUGGGGGAUAACGUCCGGAAACGGGCGCUAAUACCGCAUACGUCCUGAGGGAGAAAGAGGGGGAUCUUCGGACCUCACGCUAUCAGAUGAGCCUAGGUCGGAUUAGCUAGUUGGUGGGGUAAAGGCCUACCAAGGCGACGAUCCGUAACUGGUCUGAGAGGAUGAUCAGUCACACUGGAACUGGAAAACGGUCCAGACUCCUACGGGAGGCAGCAGUGGGGAAUAUUGGACAAUGGGCGAAAUCCUGAUCCAGCCAUGCCGCGUGUGUGAAGAAGGUCUUCGGAUUGUAAAGCACUUUAAGUUGGGAGGAAGGGCAGUAAGUUAAUACCUUGCUGUUUUGACGUUACCAACAGAAUAAGCACCGGCUAACUUCGUG
rnacentral:rRNA from 1 species